GACGAACGCUGGCGGCGUGCCUAAUACAUGCAAGUAGAACGCUGAAGGAGGAGCUUGCUUCUCCGGAUGAGUUGCGAACGGGUGAGUAACGCGUAGGUAACCUGCCUGGUAGCGGGGGAUAACUAUUGGAAACGAUAGCUAAUACCGCAUAAGAGUAGAUGUCGCAUGACAUUUGCUUAAAAGGUGCAACUGCACCACUACCAGAUGGACCUGCGUUGUAUUAGCUAGUUGGUGAGGUAACGGCUCACCAAGGCAACGAUACAUAGCCGACCUGAGAGGGGGGUCGGCCACACUGGGACUGAGACACGGCCCAGACGCCUUCGGGAGGGAGCAGGAGGGAAUCUUCGGCCAUGGACGGAAGUCUGAGCGCACAACGCCGCGUGAGUGAAGAAGGGUUUCGGGUCGUAAAGCUCUGUUGUAGGGGAAGAAAGAGUGUGAGCGUGGAAAGUUCACACUGUGACGGUAUCUUACCAGAAAGGGACGGCUAACUACGUG
rnacentral:rRNA from 1 species